UUUUUGCAUUGUUUUGUAUCCCUAGCACUUAGCACAUUGUAGGUGCUUAAUAAAUGCUAGUUGACUGACCAAUAAAAUUCACAUGUGAAGGAAUAGUUUCUCUAAGAAAAUAUGAAGAGAUGCACAGACUGUUAAAAGAAACAGAUAGAGAACUGCCCCUCAGAUGAAUGGACUGAGAGGACCUGUUUGACCUCAAAAAGUUGACUAAGCCUGCAAGGUAGUGUGAUUCUUCAUUUACAUGUGACUUUUUUUUUAGUCUUUGGAAAGUUAUAACUUUCAAAAUGCUACAUCAGAUAAUUACAUGGAAACUGUGAGAAGGUUAAAUAAGGAUGCCUGGCUUCAUAAUUGACAGAAAAAAAAUAGAUUCCAUGACUUUUACUCCCAUGAGGGAAAGCAGAAUCACUGACCAGCAGGACCCAUUGAUUUGAAGUAUGGAGAGAUGGAAAAACCAGCUAUGAAAGAGUUAAGAAGUCAACCCCUGAGCCAGCUAAUAGGAAGGCUUCGACUUCCAUGCAGGGUGUUUGCUGAUUGGUUGGGGAAAGCUUGCAGUUCAUUGUAAGAGAGAUCUCUUACUCUAGCAGAUGUUACCCUAAGGCAUUAUCUACAGUUUGAAAGCCAUCAAGCCUCUCAGAGAUAACCUGGUUGUUCUCUAUUGCUUUAGAAAGAAAAAUGUAAAGAAAAGAUAGGCUUUGAGUCUGUUUUUUUUUUUAAAUUUGUUUCUAUUUGUUUUCCUUUAAGAACAUACUUGGAAGCAAUUAGUGUAGGAUCCUGUCUAGGGAAUAACUGACUGAGCAUCUCUACAGGAUCUAAUGAACCAACCUGAGAAGCUGUUCUUCUUAAGCUGUUCUUAAGUGAGCUACUCUCACUUAAGCGAACUUCUUGCUGUUACAGGAGCAUAACAUUUUCUCAGCACCUUGGUUAAGGAUGAUGGUACAAUCACACAAGCAAUACAAAAUAAUGUCAAGAGGAAGAGAGUGAUAAUGACUGCGGACCUCAAAGGCCUCUUGAAGGAAGUAACACUAGAACUGUGUUUUGCAAAAAGGUGAGGAUUCUACAAGGUGGAGGUGUGAAGAUGAUGAAACUCAAUCCCAGGGAGGAGAAAUUUGCCCAAAAUCAAAUAAAUAGUUAACAUCAGAAGCAGGAUUUGAAGCCAGGUCAUCUGACUCCAGAGCAGUUGCUCUUUUUCCCAAGAAAAACGUAAGCUCCUUAGCAAAGACUGGAAACAAAGUGAGAGCCUAUCAACUGGAGAAUGGCUUGAUAAAUUCAGAUAUGUAAAUGGAAUGGAAUGGUGAUUAUGAAGGAUUCAGUGAAAGUUGGAAAGACUUUCAUGAAAUGAUGAAGAGUGAAGUGAGUAUAACUAGAACUAUUUUCACAUUGAUUACAAUUAUGUAAAAACAAAAUAAGAAUUUUGAAAGACUUCAGAAUAUUGAUAGAUGCAGUGACCAAUUGUAAUUUAAGAAGACUGAUAAUGAAGCAUGCUUCCUGCCCCUCAUCAGAGAGGUGAUGGGUUACAGGUAAAAGAUGAGAUAUAUACUUUCAGACACAACUGAAAGGUUGAUUGUUUUACUUAAAUAUAUUUAUCUAUUUGGGGAGUAUAUGGAAUGGUUAGUGGGUAAUGAUAGAAAUGUUUAUUUUAUUUUUUUAAAUAUAAAUUUAUUUUAGUUUUCAAUAUUUACUUCCACAAGA